ensembl:lncRNA
CUUUAGUAAAUCUGUUCAUUAUUAAAAUCAUCAAUAAUUGUUACUGUUUACGUUCAAGUAUCAGUGAUUGUGUAAUAGUAGCACAGUGUUUGUGGCUUUACAGAGAUAGCAACUUUCAGAGCUGUCACUCUGAGGAGCUAGCAGGACCAGAAAAAUUUCAGAAUGGAGCUCUAUUUGUAGAGCUAUCUAUCUGUAGGAGAUAAAAAAUAAUUUUGUUAUUGUGUUAAAAUAUAGUGUUUUUGUUUUUCAGUCACAUGGUUCUGCGAAAAGACAUUAAGGAACUUGAUGGUGAAAUGGAUCCAAAAGCAGAAGCCAGCCUCAAGCCAGUGCUGAAUGCAGCAUGGGAUUUCCAGUGCAAUGGUACUGUGCCUAGUGCAUGGAGGACUGAGAUAAAGGAUGAAAGUUCCAGCAGUGAUGAAAACGAUGAGGAAGAAGAAGAGGUGCAGGAAGAUGGUGGCAGCAGUGAGGAAGAAGAGGUAAGAACAUUCAAAUAACCGAGGACAUCCGGUGUAGUUUUAUACCGUAUCCAUAAUAGUACACACACACACACACACACACACACACACACACACACACACACACACAGAGAUAUAUAUACUGCUCUAAAAAAGUAUUUGCCCCAUCCUGAUUUCUUCUGUUUUUGUGUAUAUCCCAUACAAAAUAGUUUUAGAUCUUCAAAUGAAAUAAAUUACAAAAUUCCUCCAGUAGCAGAAUGACUACUCAGUCAUUGUGCUCCUGGAGGAAUUUUCGAAGGUUGGCUACUUCUGGGAAGGCUCACUACUGUGCCGAAUUUUUCCAUUUGGAGAUAACCGCUAAGGCUUGUAUCUAAGGCUUGUAGGUCCUUAGAUGUUGUCCUUGGCACUUUUGGGACUUCCUGGAUGAGUAUCCAGGAAUUCCCAAAAGUGCCAAGGACAACAUCUAAGGACCUACAGGCCUCUCUUGCAAUAAAAAGUCACUGUUCAUGACUCCACUAUCAGAAAGACAUUCGGCAAAAAUGGCAUCCAUGAAAGAGUGGUGAAGAGAAAACCACUGCUAACCCAGAAAAACAUUAAGGCUUGUCUGAAUUUUGCCAAAACACACCUUGAUGAUCCUCAAACCUUUUGGGAGAAUGUUCUGAUCUCCAGUUAAUGGAAGUGUUUGGUUGCUGUUAUUGCUGCUAAAGGUGGCACAACCAGAUUUUACGUUGUGGCACCUUUUAAAUUAGUUUUUCACAUGGUGAUAGGUGGGUUUUUUUUUUUCUUCAAUAAAAAAUAAAUAAAAACUGUAUUGUGUGUUUACUCUCAGGUUGCCUUUGUUUUAUGUUCUAUUUUAUAAAUAUACAUGAAUACAUUUUAUGAGUAGUCAUUGUGUUCCUGGAGGAAUUUUGUAAGGUCGGCCACUUCUGGGAAGGUUCACUACUGUGCGGAAUUUGCCCAUUUGGAGAUAACAGCUCUUACUUUAAAGUUCAGUAUCCCAUCACCAGUCUUUGAAAGUUUAAGAUUGCACCAAUACCACUAGCCCCCCUCUUUUCCUCUUACCACUCACCCCAUGUUGAAUGACGUUUCAUAGAUUUGGGGAAUUAGUAACUAUGGGGUAACUACUACAUUUUCACACAGGCCCAGUUGGUAUUGGCUAACUUUUUGGCUUCAAUAAAUAACUCUAUCAUUUAAAAUCUGUACUUUUUUAUUUAUUAUUAUUUUAUUUUUUUAUUUCGGCUCAAACUAACAAUCUCCAGUUUCAUUUCUGCUGAACAUUUCUGCUGAACAUUUCUGCUGAACAUUUCUGCUGAACAUUUCCACUGAACAUUUCCACUGAACAUUUCCGAUGAACAUUUCUGCUGAUCAUUUUUGCUGAACAUUUCUGCUGAACAUUUCCGCGGAAUAUUUCCGCUUAACAUUUCCACUGAACAUUUCUACUGAUCAUUUCUACUGAACAUUUCUAGUGAACAUUUCCGCUGAACAUUUCUAGUGAACAUUUCCGCUGAACAUUUCUACUGAACAUUUCCGCUGAACAUUUCUGCUGAACAUUUCCGCUGAACAUUUCUGCUGAACAUUUCCGCUGAACAUUUCUGCUGAACAUUUCCGCUGAACAUUUCUACUGAACAUUUCUAGUGAGCAUUUCUAGUGAACAUUUCUACUGAACAUUUCCGAUGAACAUUUCUGCUGACAUUUCCGAUGAACAUUUCUGCUGAACAUUUCCGCUGAACAUUUCCGCUGAACAUUUCUAGUGAACAUUUCCGCUGAACAUUUCUUCUGGACAUUUCCGCUGAAACAUUUCUUCUGGACAUUUCCGCUGAACAUUUCUUCUGGACAUUUCCGCUGAACAUUUCUUCUGGACAUUUCCGCUGAACAUUUCUUCUGGACAUUUCUGCUGAACAUUUCUUCUGGACAUUUCUGCUGAACAUUUCUUCUGGACAUUUCUGCUGAACAUUUCUGCUGAACAUUUCUUCUGGACAUUUCUGCUGAACAUUUCUUCUGGACAUUUCUGCUAAACAUUUCUGAUGAACAUUUCUACUGAUCAUUUCUGAUGAACAUUUCCACUGAUCAUUUCUAGUGAACAUUUCCGCUGAACAUUUCUAGUGAGCAUUUCUGAUGAACAUUUCUACUGAACAUUUCUAGUGAACAUUUCCGCUGACAUUUCUACUGAACAUUUCUACUGAACAUUUCUGAUGAACAUUUCUAGUGAACAUUUCCGAUGAACAUUUCCGCCGAACAUUUCUAGUGAACAUUUCCGCCGAACAUUUCUAGUGAACAUUUCUGCUGAUCAUUUUUACUGAACAUUUCUAGUGAACAUUUCUGCUGAACAUUUCUAGUGAACAUUUCUGCUGAACAUUUCUUCUGGACAUUUCUGCUGAACAUUUCUACUGAACAUGUCUGCUGAACAUUUCUAGUGAACAUUUCCGCUGAACAUUCUAGUGAACAUUUCCGCUUAACAUUUCCGCUUAACAUUUCCGCUUAACAUUUCCGCCGAUCAUUUCCGCCGAUCAUUUCCGCUGAACAUUUCCGCCGAACAUUUCUACUGAUCAUUUCUACUGAACAUUUCCGCUGAACAUUUCUAGUGAGCAUUUCUAAUGAACAUUUCUGAUGAACAUUUCUGCUGAACAUUUCUGCUGAACAUUUCUAGUGAACAUUUCUGCUGAUCAUUUCUGCUGAACAUUUCUGCUGAACAUUUCUGCUGAUCAUUUCCGCUGAACAUUUCUGCUGAUCAUUUUUACUGGACAUUUCUAGUGAACAUUUCUAGUGAACAUUUCUGCUGAACAUUUCUAGUGAACAUUUCUGCUGAACAUUUCUAGUGAACAUUUCCGCUGAACAUUUCUAGUGAACAUUUCCGCUUAACAUUUCCGCUUAACAUUUCCGCCGAUCAUUUCCGCCGAUCAUUUCCGCUGAACAUUUCCGCCGAACAUUUCUACUGAUCAUUUCUACUGAACAUUUCCGCUGAACAUUUCUAGUGAGCAUUUCUAAUGAACAUUUCUGAUGAACAUUUCUGCUGAACAUUUCUGCUGAACAUUUCUAGUGAACAUUUCUAGUGAACAUUUCUGCUGAUCAUUUUUACUGAACAUUUCUAGUGAACAUUUCUGCUGAACAUUUCCGCUGAACAUUUCUGCUGAUCAUUUUUACUGGACAUUUCUACUGAACAUUUCCGCUGAACAUUUC